CGGGUGGCUGCAGGCGCGAAACCUUUACAAUGUACGUAAGUGCGAUAAGGGGACUCCUAGUGCUCAUGCAAUGCAUGGGCUUUUGCUAAGUGUAAAUAGCUUGGCGAAUAAGUGGUGGGUAAGACGGGUGCCAGCCGCCGCGGUAACACCUGCGCCACGAGUGGCAAUCAUAAUUAUUGGGCCUAAAGCGUUCGUAGCCGGAUUGAUAAGUCUUGGGUGAAAUCGUUGCGCUUAACAAAACGACGUGCUUGAGAUACUGUUAAUCUAGGAACCGGGAGGUGUUAGGGGUAUUUCUGAGGGAGCGGUAAAAUGCUAUAAUCUCAGGAGGACCACCUGUGGCGAAGGCGCCUAACGAGAACGGGUUCGACGGUGAGGAACGAAAGCUAGGGGAGCAAUCCGGAUUAGAUACCCCGGUAGUC
rnacentral:rRNA from 1 species